AUCUUGUUAGCUUAUACAAAGCCUGAAACUCUUAAUUUCAAUAAGAAGUAAAAUAAAAUCUUCACAAGAUA
rnacentral:tRNA from 1 species